UACGAAGGGGGCUAGCGUUGAUCGGAAUCACUGGGCGUAAAGCGCACGUAGGCGGCUUCUUAAGUCAGGGGUGAAAUCCUGGAGCUCAACUCCAGAACUGCCUUUGAUACUGAGGAGCUUGAGUCCGGGAGAGGUGAGUGGAACUGCGAGUGUAGAGGUGAAAUUCGUAGAUAUUCGCAAGAACACCAGUGGCGAAGGCGGCUCACUGGCCCGGUACUGACGCUGAGGUGCGAAAGCGUGGGGAGCAAACAGG
rnacentral:rRNA from 1 species